UAGGGAAUAUUGGACAAUGGGCGCAAGCCUGAUCCAGCCAUGCCGCGUGAGUGAAGAAGGCCCUCGGGUUGUAAAGCUCUUUUGUCCGGAAAGAAAAGCAUCGGGUUAAUACCCCGGUGUUCUGACGGUACCGGAAGAAUAAGCACCGGCUAACUUCGUGCCAGCAGCCGCGGUAAAACGUAGGAGGCGAGCGUUAUCCGGAUUUACUGGGCGUAAAGCGCGUGCAGGCGGAUUGGAGAGUUGGAUGUGAAAGCUCCCGGCUUAACUGGGAGAGGUCGUUCAAUACUUACAGUCUUGAGUGCAGUAGAGGGAAGUGGAAUUCCGGGUGUAGUGGUGAAAUGCGUAGAUAUCCGGAGGAACACCAGUGGCGAAAGCGGCUUCCUGGGCUGUAACUGACGCUCAGACGCGAAAGCUAGGGUAGCAAACG
rnacentral:rRNA from 1 species